rfam:Schistosoma rodhaini strain Burundi genome assembly, scaffold: SROB_scaffold0008244
AUCCAGCGGACGAGUCUCGAAUAGGACGAAAUGCUCGUCCUGGAU